rnacentral:rRNA from 1 species
UACGUAGGGGGCAAGCGUUGUCCGGAAUCAUUGGGCGUAAAGAGCGUGUAGGCGGUUCGGUAAGUCCGCUGUAAAAGUCCAGGGCUCAACCCUGGAAAGCCGGUGGAUACUGUCGGGCUAGAGUCCGGAAGAGGCGAGUGGAAUUCCUGGUGUAGCGGUGGAAUGCGCAGAUAUCAGGAGGAACACCGAUGGCGAAGGCAGCUCGCUGGGACGGUACUGACGCUGAGGCGCGAAAGCGUGGGGAGCGAACAGGAUAGAA